CCCUGCUACAGGAAGUCAGUACCCAGGGAAGUCAAUAAAAGCUUCCCUCACCAACAUGGCUGGUUCCCCACUUCCUGUCAAGAUGGAGGACCAUACCACCACACCCAACUCAGGACACUCCCAACCACAGGCCUCCAGUCCUGAUACCCCAGGUACUGCCCUGCUACAGGAAGUCAGUACCCAGGGAAGUCAAUAAAAGCUUCCCUCACCAACAUGGCUGGUUCCCCACUUCCUGUCAAGAUGGAGGACCAUACCACCACACCCAACUCAGGACACUCCCAACCACAGGCCUCCAGUCCUGAUACCCCAGGUAAGUGAAUUUUGUUUUUAUUAUUUUCCUUACUAGACCCAAGGUUUAGCAACACAAUACACAAACAGUUAAAAAACAAUUUGCAGAAAAUGUCCAGAUACAUACUGAGACAAAUGUGAGGGUCUCCUCCCUCACAAGGUACUGUAAAUCCAAAAGUUCUACUACGUCUGUACUAGAAAAGCAUGGGGCCACAAGGGAUUCACAGUAUGCAUGGUAAACAUGAACUCAAUAUUCAUUAUCAGAUUAGUAUUAUUAACACAA